CCGUACUAGACGGGGAGUUAGCGCCUCCCUGAACUCGGAGCUAUAUCGAGGUCGAAUUCCUUUUUGAGGCCCUUGUGGCGGAUCGGGUCCGUUUCAUGGACCGGCCUAUUGGGUCCCACGCAACGCGAUGCCGUGAACUCCGUCAGGACGGGAACGUAGCAGCGGUAAGCGGAACGUUCGCGUGUGCCGUGGAUUGCCUGGUGGAUCGGUUUGGGAAAAACGCCGGGAAACCAUGGGGUCGAGGGAAGGUGUACGG
rnacentral:SRP_RNA from 1 species